AUGGCACAAGGGCGUGUCGACAGUGACUCAGACAAGACUCCAGACAUGAGCAAUCAACCACCGAAGAGGCCAUCCUUCUCAGUCAUGUGCUCAUUCGUAUCUUUAGGCCAUCCUUCUUAGUCAUGUGCUCAUUCGUAUCUUUAGGCCAUCCUUUUUAGUCCUGUGCAUUGCGUGUGCCAUAUACCCGGCUUUGCAGGAAGUCAACGUACCCUAUGUGCCAAUUCACCUCACCGCCUCGAGCGGGAGGCACUAGCGUGCACCUUAACGACACAACCUUUGGGCCCCGUGCUAGCUGGGCUCCUGAAGUAUCGCAAGCUCUUGCGAAUCCAGCAGGCUUCAGGGACUUCGGCCUUCGGCCUGGACUUUGAUAGGUCAUUAAGCCACGCUCGUUGAGACAACGAUCGAUCCACCGAUGGGCCCCCUCCGCUCCCUGCGGGCGGUCGAGCGCCUUGACAACACCGGCAUCG
rnacentral:misc_RNA from 1 species